AUUGAACGCUGGCGGCAGGCCUAACACAUGCAAGUCGAACGGUAGCACAGGAGAGCUUGCUCUUCGGGUGACGAGUGGCGGACGGGUGAGUAAUGCAUGGGGAGCUGCCCAAUCGAGGGGGAUACCAGCUGGAAACGGCUGCUAAUACCGCAUACGCCCUGAGGGGGAAAGGUGGGGACCUUCGGGCCUACCGCGAUUGGAUGCACCCAUGUGGGAUUAGCUAGUUGGUGGGGUAACGGCUCACCAAGGCGACGAUCUCUAGCUGGUCUGAGAGGAUGACCAGCCACACUGGAACUGAGACACGGUCCAGACUCCUACGGGAGGCAGCAGUGGGGAAUAUUGCACAAUGGGGGAAACCCUGAUGCAGCCAUGCCGCGUGUGUGAAGAAGGCCUUCGGGUUGUAAAGCACUUUCAGUGGGGAGGAAGGGGAGUAAGUUAAUACCUUACUUCAUUGACGUUACCCACAGAAGAAGCACCGGCUAACUCCGUGCCAGCCGCCGCCGUAC
rnacentral:rRNA from 1 species